CUAGCGACUUCAGAGUUUGAUCCUGGCUCAGGAUGAACGCUAGCUACAGGCUUAACACAUGCAAGUCGAGGGGCAGCAGGAACUUAGCUUGCUAAGUUUGCUGGCGACCGGCGCACGGGUGAGUAACGCGUAUCCAACCUGCCCAUUACUCAGGGAUAGCCUUGCGAAAGUAAGAUUAAUACCUGAUGUCGUCAUAGAAUCGCAUGUUUCUUUGACUAAAGAAUUUUGGUAAUGGAUGGGGAUGCGUAACAUUAGGUAGUUGGUGAGGUAACGGCUCACCAAGCCGACGAUGUUUAGGGGUUCUGAGAGGAAGGUCCCCCACACUGGAACUGAGACACGGUCCAG
rnacentral:rRNA from 1 species